rnacentral:rRNA from 1 species
AAUAAACGCUGGCGGCGUGCCUAACACAUGCAAGUCGAGCGAGAAAGCUCCUUCGGGAGUUAGUAAAGCGGCGAACGGGUGAGCAACACGUGAGAAUCUACCCUUUAGUGAAGAAUACCCUCGAGAAAUCGAGGCUAAUACUGCAUACGUCCCUUCGGGGAGAAAGAUGGCCUCUUUGCUAUCGCUAAAGGAUGAGCUUGCGUACUAUUAGCUAGUUGGCGGGGUAAAGGCCCACCAAGGCAAUGAUGGUUAACCGGCCUGAGAGGGUGUACGGUCACACUGGAACUUAGACACGGUCCAGACUCCUACGGGAGGCAGCAGUGAGGAAUAUUGGACAAUGGGCGGGAGCCUGAUCCAGCCAUGCCGCGUGAAGGACGAAGGCGCUCAGCGUUGUAAACUUCUUUUGGUACGGGGAACAAUAACCUCGACUUGUCGAGGCUUGAGGGUACCGUCAGAAUAAGCACCGGCUAACUCCGUG